AGCAGCCGCGGUAAUUCCAGCUCCAAUAGCGUAUAUUAGUGUUGUUGCGGUUAAAAAGCUCGUAGUUGAAUUUCGGGAUUGGGAUAUAUCGGUCGUGCCUUUAGGGGCAUGAAACGGUGUGUAGCCAAUUUCUCACCUUCUGGUGAGUCGGGAUGCUCUUAGGUGUUUCGAUGAACCAGGACAUUUACUUUGAAAAAAUUAGAGUGUUUAAAGCGGGCAUUUUUGCUUGAAUACAUUAGCAUGGAAUAAUAAAAUAGGACGAUGGUUCUAUUUUGUUGGUUUUAGGACUACGUAAUGAUUAAUAGGGAUAGUUGGGGGCAUUAGUAUUCAAUUGUCAGAGGUGAAAUUCUUGGAUUUAUUGAGGACUAACUACUGCGAAAGCAUUUGCCAAGGAUGUUUUCAUUAAUCAAGAACGAAAGUUAGGGGAUCAAAGACGAUUUAUGUACGUCGUAGUCUUAACCAUAAACUAUGCCGACUAGGAAUCAGACAAAGUUCAUUUUUUAACGACUU
rnacentral:rRNA from 1 species